rnacentral:lncRNA from 1 species
UUGGUCAUCUAUUACUUACAGUUAUGCAGGAUACAGCUGGGAACAGAGAAGGCAAGGGAGUUAGAGUUCCCACACGUUGGAGAUGGGCAGUCCAAGACUUCCCCCAAAGUACCAAUUUCCUCCAGGUGACACAAAGCCCAGAAACAGUCCUGGGAAUAUGGACCCAGUUUGUAGGGCAGCUGAAGCAGAGAUGUAGAGCAAAUCUUUAUCCACCAGGGGGCUGCACUUUAGGAAAAAAAGUCUGGGCUGCAGUAGAUAAAUCAAGUUGUUACCUAGCUUUCUUUCUCCUCAAAUUCCAACUUCUGCUCAAGUGUUGUCACGUUUCUGAUUGACAAGUGUAGCAGAAAUGACAAAUGAGGCUGGUGUUGGUUUAAGUCUGGAGAAAGCCAUCUCUUAAUCUUUAAAUGCAAUAAUGGUAUAAAGUACCUAACGUGGUCUUUGGCAUCAAAAUAUCCAUCAAGAUUAUUCCGCCGUGUAUUUAUCAUA